rnacentral:lncRNA from 1 species
UGCGUGCAUUUUUAACUUUUAAACUAUAACUGACAUGCGCUAGAAAUGCAUGUAACAAUAUCAAAUUUAAAAAAAUAUAGUUCUUUUUCAGAUUACAUUAAAUUAAUAAAGUCAGAAUUGGUUUUUGAUGAUGUGAUCCUAGUUUAAAUAUCCUUUUUUGUAAAAAUCUUAUAAAGCACUAGCACUUGUACAUUCGCUGAGCAUUGAUAUAAAAUGUAUUCAGAUCAUAAAAGACCAUGUAUUUUAUAAAACAGUAUUCACAUUGAUCUUAUUAUGUUCUUCUUGGUAAAUGCAUAAAAAAAACUGUGUGUUAGUUUAUUGCUAGAAUGAGAACUCUUGAGAAAUUUUGAUGAUGAUCAGCUCAUUAUGGGUCAAACAUCUUUGAUAAGGAAUGAAAAGCUGGUGUGAUGAAAUUAUCAUACUUAAGUAUAUGCCAUGAAGUAUUUGUAAAUAAGAUGGAAUAAAAAGGGAUGAAAUGAAUAUUAUACAGAAGUAUAUGCCAUGAAUUAACAAUAGAAUGGAAAAUUUAAUUUAACAUAUUUUAAAACAUGCUAAUAAUGCAACACUAUUUCACAGUAAAAUUACAGGCGCACCA